UCUAAGGGAGAACCUUGGGUACCAAUCCAUCUUCCAUCCAGGCAGGGACUCCCAGGGGAUAAGACUGAAAGGUUUAAUGUGAAACUCAAAAUUUGAAGCCAAAUGGUCCAUCAUCUGGACUCUUCCUAAAUUGAGCAGCAAUAGAGAAUAGUCAACUAAGCUUUAAAUAGCUGUAUUUAGGAUGAAAUCAUUUCCUACUCACAGAAACAGAGAAGGUGAGUAAGUUGCCCAAAUUCACACAGGUCAAAGGGAAUCAAGAUCCUGAUCAUGUUCUAGACCAUUAGGCUCCUCUACCUCUCUUGGAUAAUAGAUACCAGAAGUCCCAAUCUAAACUAGCCUGGCCAGUCCCAGUGACCUCCACAACUGCCCAAGGACUGGAAUAGAUGUUCCCACACUUAGAUAUACUUCUGUCCACUCUCCUUCCUACCUAGUCACCACCACCAGCAACUGGUAAAUAUGGAUUGAGCCAGGCACAGUGGGCACAAAGAUGAAAAAGAGUGUAAUCUUGCCCUAUAGAACUCUGGGAGAGACUGACCCCCAGGCAGAUGCACC
rnacentral:lncRNA from 1 species